rnacentral:rRNA from 1 species
CCUACGGGUGGCAGCAGUGGGGAAUAUUGCGCAAUGGGCGAAAGCCUGACGCAGCGACGCCGCGUGAGGGAUGAAGGUCUUCGGAUCGUAAACCUCUGUCAGCAGGGAAGAACGGUCACUGUGCUAAUCAGCAGUGAAUUGACGGUACCUGCAAAGGAAGCACCGGCUAACUCCGUGCCAGCAGCCGCGGUAAUACGGAGGGUGCGAGCGUUAAUCGGUAUUACUGGGCGUAAAGCGCGCGUAGGCGGUAUGUCAAGUCAAGGGUGAAAGCCCCGCGCUCAACGUGGCAACUGCCUUUGAAACGGGCAAACUGGAGUGUGUGAGAGGAUAGUGGAAUUCCAGGUGUAGGGGUGAAAUCCGUAGAUAUCUGGAGGAACAUCAGUGGCGAAGGCGACUAUCUGGCACAUAACUGACGCUGAGGAGCGAAAGCGUGGGUAGCAAACAGGAUUAGAUACCCUGGUAGUC